UAGCAGUAUGGGGAUCUUCCACAAUGGACGCAAGUCUGAUGGAGCAACGCCGCGUGAGUGAAGAAGGUCUUCGGAUCGUAAAACUCUGUUGUUAGAGAAGAACACGAGUGAGAGUAACUGUUCAUUCGAUGACGGUAUCUAACCAGCAAGUCACGGCUAACUACGUGCCAGCAGCCGCGGUAAUACGUAGGUGGCAAGCGUUGUCCGGAUUUAUUGGGCGUAAAGGGAACGCAGGCGGUCUUUUAAGUCUGAUGUGAAAGCCUUCGGCUUAACCCGGAGGUAGUGCAUUGAAACCGGAGUCU
rnacentral:rRNA from 1 species